GUGAUAUAAACCGUGUCAGACGUUUAUGUUAGUGUUACAGAGGUUUGAGGUUUGGUAAUGAAAUGAGGACCCUGACUUGUGACUUGUAGGUACAGUAGUUACUAUCGAGUCAGGACUCAGGAGUGCCACACCCGCAGCACACCGUCUAAAAAGGAAGAGGUGGCUUACACGAAUGAGGAGCGGGAAGUUACGGCGGGCGAAGCGGCCGGCCCAGCAGUUGAGCACAGCGUCGACCGCAUGGGCUUCGGCGCGCGGGAGCGCGAGCACGCGCGCGGUGACCUCGGACACCUUCCAGUCCCGCUGCCACCGGCUUCCCUCCACGCGGAGGCGGUGCCGUGCAGGGAGCGCGUCGGCGCCGAUGCCGUCCACCUCGACCCGGGCGGUGCGGCGGCCGCGGUCGUAGUCGACGGAGAUGGAGGGCCGCCGCUCGGCCCACGGAGGCGGGCCUGGCGUCCUCGGGGGCCGCCGAGGCGGGCGGACGACUCUCGGCGGCGCCUCUGGAUUCGGCGCUCGCGGCGCUGGCGACGAAGGAGGGGGAGCAGAAGACAUUGCCGCUCUCCGCGGAAAGCUUGACCGUUGAGGAUCCGCCCGAUUUCUACGGAUAAGAGACUUCUGAUAUUUUUUCCUUUCAAAUCAAGGGCUGAGAUGGGCGCUGCCGCUAUUGUUUCUUUUUUUAUUACUCCCUCCAGCUUGUCUCAAAUAUAUCCAAAUAUAAACAUAUUUAUGUUUCAAAAGCGUCUAGAUGCGUCUAAAUACAUGUAAUAUUUAGACAAGUAAUAUGGAUCGGAGGGAGUAUCUUUUCUUAAUCUCUAUCACGCAUGUUCGGUC